CUGGAACGCGCUUCGGCGCACCCAGAAACCCUUUGUGAACUUAUACCUAUCUGUUGCCUCGGCGAAGGCCGGCCUCCUCUGAGGCCCCCCGGAAACGGGGAGCAGCCCGCCGGCGGCCAACCAAACUCUUGUUUCUUAGUGAAUCUCUGAGUAAAAAAACAUAAUGAAUCA
rnacentral:misc_RNA from 1 species